AUUGAACGCUGGCGGCAUGCCUUACACAUGCAAGUCGAACGGCAGCGGGGACUUCGGUCCGCCGGCGAGUGGCGAACGGGUGAGUAAUGUAUCGGAACGUACCAUUGAGUGGGGGAUGACUAUCCGAAAGGAUAGCUAAUACCGCAUAUUCUCUCCGGAGGAAAGCAGGGGACCGCAAGGCCUUGCGCUCAUUGAGCGGCCGAUAUCAGAUUAGCUAGUUGGUGGGGUAAAAGCUCACCAAGGCGACGAUCUGUAGCGGGUCUGAGAGGAUGAUCCGCCACACUGAACUGAGACACGGUCCAGACUCCUACGGGAGGCAGCAGUGGGGAAUUUUGGACAAUGGGGGCAACCCUGAUCCAGCCAUGCCGCGUGAGUGAAGAAGGCCUUCGGGUUGUAAAGCUCUUUCGGCCGGGAAAAAAUCGCAUGGGCUAAUAUCCUGUGUGGAUGAUGGUACCGGAAUAAGAAGCACCGGCUAACUACGUGCCAGCCGCCGCGGUAAGAC
rnacentral:rRNA from 1 species